rnacentral:rRNA from 1 species
UACAGAGGUCUCAAGCGUUGUUCGGAUUCAUUGGGCGUAAAGGGUGCGUAGGCGGCGCGGUAAGUCGGGUGUGAAAUCUCGGAGCUUAACUCCGAAACUGCAUUCGAUACUGCCGUGCUUGAGGACUGGAGAGGAGACUGGAAUUUACGGUGUAGCGGUGAAAUGCUUAGAUAUGACAUAGAACACCAAUUGCGAAGGCAGCUCACUACACAAUCAUUGACGCUGAGGCACGAAAGCGUGGGGAGCAAACAGG